UACUGCAGCUUGGAGCAAGCCUUCCAGCCUGGGUAAUAGACUUGCACUAGUGGGGCCCAAUCUAUCAUGAUAAAAAUAGUUGUGUGGAUAUUGUGGCUCAGGCUGUCAAGUCUAGGGGUUUGAGUGGGCUUGAGUACCCAAGCCACAAAGUCUACAGGACUACUUGUAGUGCAUUCGCUUGAGCCCUGCUGGCACCAGUCUGUGGCACAGCUGUGGCACUUUAGGCAUUUGAAAGGCAAAGCUGACAGCUGUGUUUAGUGAAAAGGGAAGCCAUAAACAAUUAAGGCUGCCUGCUGUGGUUUGAAGCUGUGUUUUUGAGGAGAAGGAGGUCUUCCUAAAUAGAAAAGGUAACAAACAGCUGAAAUAGAUCAUAACAUGAAGGACUCAGGAAAAGAAGGAAAUUUGUACUCGGAAUGGAAUAUUCCCUAAACACAAACAACUCUUGUCAACAAAAGCUCCUUUGGAACAGAAGACACCACCUGGAGAGAUUCUACUGUCUUCUGUCUCCAAAUCAUCCAGUUUGUGUUAUCCAGCAAUGACAACGUAACCCCAAAGGAGAGAUUCCUGAGGUGGGAAAUUGGCUCCUAAUGAUGAUUUGUACUGAAGAGCGGUUGUUAUAGAAAGCUGCACGGGAAAACAUUUUUGAAGAGGAUGGUGCCGUGCAAGAAGGGAGGUCCGUUCAUGUGAACAAAAUGAGAGAGGCAGAAACCUCACAGAAGUUAAUUACACCAGAGCUUCACCAGAAUAGCAGGGUCGUCCUACUAUGGGUAUAGAAAUUUGUCUGUUCAGCUCACCACAGCCUGAGUACAUCAGAUCCAACAUUCUACAUAUCCACAUACUUUCACACAGGAACAGUCUAUACUCAUUGACUUUGCUAGUGGUGGGAAGUUAUUUUUGCAAUAUGAAGGAACUAUGAAGGCUGAACCAUAUGGAAGAAUUGGAUUGCCUUAUGUUUCUCAAGAUUCUUGUGGAAUGAGAGUCCUCAGCUAAACCAACAGGCUUGUGUAUGUUCCAUCUGUUUGGAGACAGCCAAAUGGAUCAUUUCUGUAUUAUUUUCUCUCCCUCUGUAUUUCUGUGAAACGCAGGUUGUCAGAGAGGAAGAGGGGAAAACACAACCCUUCAAACUGCAGUGAUCUGCUGUAGACAUCUCUCCAAUGUUCUUGGCUGAGCCACAGUGAACAAGAUGAUGAUGAUCAACAUGUAAAAGUAGUUAAUAAAAGCAAAUGUGAAGUGGCAUUUCAAGCUUGAUUUGGCAAUAAACGUCCUCAUGCAUGAAUGUCCCACUCUGGUGAAAGAGAGAACCAAAAAUACCCAUGAAAUAAGAAACUAUGGAAUAUCAGAUGGAACAAGAGUUCAGAGGAAAAAGUCUUCAGACAAUCAAUGAGCCUAUCAAGUCAAUCGGAAAGAUCUUGGUACCAUAAUAAACAGACUUGUCUUUUCAAUCACUCUGUAACAUACAGCACUUGGCAGACUGUCAGAUGCAAGAAUGAAGAGGUAAGUUGCAGAAUCUGCAGAUUCCAGCCAUACAUGAGGGAAUAGAUUCUGGGCUUUCCAAGAACUUGCAGAGAAAAUGAAACUUGGCAGGACUCAUGUGGAAAUUCAUUUCAUCUGUUUUCAUUUUACACUGUCUGUCAUGGAGUUUUUGAUCGUUAAAUGAAAAAGAAAAAUGAAAUUUUGCCAUAUGCAUUCUAUAAAUUUCAAUUUAGCUAUCAGGUGUCACACCUGCCAUAACUCUAUAUACUGCACUUCAGGCAAAAGACAUAAAUGUUUGUUUGUGUUACCUAUGUUGGGUUGUGAAGGUUUAUUUAUGGUAGUAUUUGCAGUAAAUCCACUAGUUUCA